rnacentral:rRNA from 1 species
GUGCCAGCCGCCGCGGUAAUACGUAGGGGGCAAGCGUUAUCCGGAUUUACUGGGUGUAAAGGGAGCGUAGACGGCAUGGUAAGUCAGAUGUGAAAGCCCGGGGCUCAACCCCGGGACUGCAUUUGAAACUGCCAGGCUAGAGUGCAGGAGAGGUAAGUGGAAUUCCUAGUGUAGCGGUGAAAUGCGUAGAUAUUAGGAGGAACACCAGCGGCGAAGGCGGCUUACUGGACUGUAACUGACGUUGAGGCUCGAAAGCGUGGGGAGCAAACAGGAUUAGAAACCCCCGUAGUCC